rnacentral:tRNA from 1 species
GCACCCGUAGCUCAGCUGGAUAGAGCGCUUGCCUCCGGAGCAAGAGGUCAUGAGUUCGAAUCUCGUCGGGUGUACCA